AAAGUAUGUGGUAUUUUUGUUAUGAGGCAUAGUGAUAUUGCCUUCUCUCUCACCCUACUCUAAUAAGGUUUUGAUAUCUGGAGCUCAUAGGUGGGAGACAGAUAAUACAUACUUAUAAGACAUUUAUUGCAUAGUCAAACCAUGGAUCCAGAAGAACAAGUCAAUAAGUCAAAUCAAGAUGUGCAUAUGUGGCGAGUGAAUGGUGUAUGGUGAUAAUGGUGAUAACAAUGGUGAAAGUCUAAUUCUACUUUUGCUCUUUUUACGGGAUACAUACCUUUCUUGCACUUUGAAGAUUUUUUUAGGAGAAUGAGAUGCU
rnacentral:lncRNA from 1 species